rnacentral:tRNA from 1 species
GUUUUAAUAAUUUAAUAAAAAUAUUGGUCUUGUAAACCAAACUUAAGUCCAUUCUUUUAAAACA